UGACCCCGUGCGGGAGAGUCCUCCGAGUUCCAUGGAGGCGCCGAAGGAGCAAAUCCUCCCCGGAAUCUCUCAGGCCCACGUACCGCACGGACGAG
rnacentral:ncRNA from 1 species